AUGGUAUGUGUUUGUAUAUUUUGAAGCGUAAGAAAAAAAGGUAAAUUCCUUGAUCGCCAUGACCCCCACGGCAAUUAAUUGGGGAAUCUAUCAUCACCUACCAAUACAGGUGACCUAUCUGAAAGCAGCCCAUUAAUCACUGCCGGAAUUCAUCAGCCCUUUUCUCUCGCAAGGCAGGACUCUUC